GUGGGGAAUCUUGCGCAAUGGGCGAAAGCCUGACGCAGCCAUGCCGCGUGAAUGAUGAAGGUCUUAGGAUUGUAAAAUUCUUUCUCCGGGGACGAUAAUGACGGUACCCGGAGAAGAAGCUCCGGCUAACUUCGUGCCAGCAGCCGCGGUAAUACGAAGGGGGCUAGCGUUGCUCGGAAUUACUGGGCGUAAAGGGCGCGCAGGCGGACAGCUUAGUCAGAGGUGAAAGCCCAGGGCUCAACCUUGGAAUUGCCUUUGAUACUGGCUGUCUUGAGUUUGGGAGAGGUGAGUGGAACUCCGAGUGUAGAGGUGAAAUUCGUAGAUAGUCGGAAGAACACCAGUGGCGAAGGCGACUCACUGGCCCAAUACUGACGCUGAGGCGCGAAAGCGUGGGGAGCAAACAGGAUUAGAUACCCGAGUAGUCC
rnacentral:rRNA from 1 species